rnacentral:misc_RNA from 1 species
AAUGAGAAACUGCCUAAGGAGUUUCUGACCAAAAGAAAGGAGAUCCUGGAGGAUAAUGAAGCUAUGGAGGAGUCACUCAUUCCGAAAUAUACCCAAGAGGACGUGGUCACCAGAUCUAAGAUUGCUAAUUUGUCCUUCAGCUAUAAAAGCAUGGAAAAAGAAAUGGCAACCUACAAGAGAAAGUGGGAGGAAGAGGUCAAGAAAAUCUUUGCCAGGUUUGCCUCAGAACUGCAUGCCUUACAAGGAGAUGACCUGACACCUUUCAAAUGCCAUGAAGACAAAAUCAAAACUGGGAUUAAAGAAAUGCAUCAAACCCUAGGAAAAAACAGAAAACUUCUAAAGGCAGCAAGGGUCUCUGAAAUCCUGAGCUACACCUCUGAACGAGAUCAGUUUCAGAGUCUGCCUAUUUUAGAAUUAGAACCAAAUCCCCCCGCACUGAUUCUAAAUUCAGAGAAAGGAAAACCCAGCCGAUUCCAGCUGGAAGAUCUCAUUUCACUUCUUCUUCCACCAACCCGUCUUCCAUUUACAAGCCUUCUUCCAAAUGUUCAGAAACAACUGCUAGACAAAGUAGCUGUACUUGCAACUGUACAAACCCCUUUCCAUGCCAUCAGGGACCUGGCCUGCGCUGGAAUGAAUAAAGUCUGGGUUAAUGCCAUAGGGGACUACGAGGAUACAGCCCUGUCUUGUUUCGACAUCUGUGGAGACAAGCUGGACUCUGUGACAGUUGGUUCCUUCUGCAAUGGCCUCACUAUGGAUUCCGAUGGGAAUUUACUUUACUCCGAGUUCAACAAUGUGAUGACUUACAAAAAUGGUGAAACUAACGAGAAGAUUGAAAUACCUGAUGGAUGGGAAGCAAUGGGCAUUUCUUGCUCUAGAUCAGGAAAUGUAUUAAUCUGCUUGAUGAAUGUGAAAAAUGAGCACAAAGUUCAUCAGUACAAGGAUAAAGCCUGCAUCAAGGAGUUUAAGUGUGAUGAGAAUGGUGAGAAACUCUACAAAAAUGGAGAAUACAUGCUCUACCCCCAGGAGAACGUAAACGGUGAUGUCUGCGUUGUGAACCACAAUAGCAACUCCAUCGUUACAGUAUGCAGCGAAGGCAAACUGAGGUUCAGAUAUGAUGGAAAAGAUGCAAACCUAACCAAGGACCUGAAUCCCAAUGCCUUUGUGACAGAUUCCAUGGGCCGUGUCAUUGUAGCAGACGAGGCCAAUGAUUGUCUUCACGUCAUUGACCAGGAUGGAAAAUUCCUACGAUGUUUGGAAAUUCCCGGGCUGACCAAGCCAACUGGAAUAAGCCUGGACAGCAGAGGAAGGCUGUGGGUGGGAUCCAAGGACAAUGGGGCUAUCAAGGUCGUUCAGUAUGCAAAGUAUGCAGAAUAAUGUAAAAUCAAGCCCGUAGUUAGAGCCCUCUAUGUUCAUACACCAGAGAAUUUCAGUGAGAGGAGAGCCACUGGUUGCAAGAUGUGGAAAAUACAGUUUUACAUUUGAGAAUUAUUCAGUAUUACAUUGUAACCAUCUGAGUGUAAUGUUAAACAGAACAGAACAAGUGCUACCUUGACAGAUAUUAUAUUUUGCUUGAAAUAAUUAUAAAGGCAGCUGUUUUAAACGAGUACAAUCCAUAUCAGUUACUUUCAAUGGCAUGUUCCAUGAGCAUAACAAAUACAUGUACAUGUUCGUUAUAAAAGCCCUAUUUUUUGAUCAAUAUUCACUAGAAUAUUAAACUUUGAGCACAUAUGAAUUGUCCUGUCAAAAUCAUAUAAUGUUUUCAUUUUCUUUCCAAAUUCAUUCAUGCUUAAUUAUGCAUUCAUAAAUUCACACAGAAUUGCAAUAGUUCAAUAAUGAAAAUCUUCAUAUAAUGUACCGGUAUAUUACUAUAAUAUCUUGUAAAUGGGGAAUUUUAUGCAUAAUUCAAAUGAUAAUGAUACUACAGACGCAAUAUAUGGAAUGUUUACCGGUUAUUAUCUGUUGUAUGUAUGGUACCUGUAUGUUAUUAAAUAUUUAUUA